rnacentral:misc_RNA from 1 species
UGUCCGCGCGGCUCUCGAAAAUUCCAGCGGCGCUUCGCAUUCGCGAGGCGCCGUUUUUAAUGCGCCGCGCCUGAUCAUGGCGGAAAUCCGGCCCCGCCAUUCAGUUCCCGUUCAACGCACCUGUGAAACCUUCACCGUCGGGACCCGUUAUCUCAGAGGUCACAACGACGAAAGGGUGAAGCCAUGAAGAAGGUUCUUUUCGC